rnacentral:lncRNA from 1 species
AUUAAAUGAAAUCUAAAAUCUAAUAAAUAAUCCAGGUUCUAAUAAUGCUUGGACUGAACCAUCCUACCUAUGUAUCGAGAAAGAGAUGUCAAAAUUUUAAAAUACACACAGUUACGGUUUAUUUAUUAAUACAAAAGUGUUAAGAUUUAUUAGUUUAUUUAAUGCAACGCUCUUUAUGUCAAUUUUGCAUUCUAGCUCCACGUCAGGGUCCACCUUCUCGGGCCUUGGCAGGCCGGGUCAGUGAUAAAAAACCCGAUUAAAAUUCACCGGAUCGUAUCCGGAACUCCGAAUUCUUCUUCUUGCCCGUUCGGUUACUUCCGAAGUAGUUCCCAAUUCUCAAUAUUGUCCUUUUUGUCAUUUCUCGCACUCUUCAAUCUUCUCCGUUGUCAAUCUCUCUUUUGCUUGUGUCUUUUCACCAAAUCAGGUAAAUAUAUUAUCCUAUCUCAAAUCCUCAAAUUUUAUCUUUAUUUUGUUCCUGUUAAUGUCAAUUACUUAUCUAGGGUUUGUUACUUGUUAAUGGACUUUAAUUGAUUUUUAUUUGUAUUUUCUGUGAUUUUUUCCCUAUUAGAUUAGAUCUGCGUUUUCAUAAUAUUUUUUUAUUUUUUAUUUUCUUCUGAUUGUGUAAUUAUGUUUUCUUUAUUUAUUUUUAUUUUUUAUGCGUAUGCGUACAUGAAAUUUUGCUUGUCGAGGAUUUUUAAAUCUAAAACCCUAGAUUUGUAUUAUUGAGACCAAAUAUGAGCUUUCAUGGAGGAUGGUUCAAUCGUACAUAUUGUGUAGAAGAGAAUGUGUAUUUGUUUAUAUACCGUGUGUGUAUAAACCGAACUUCGUAAUUGACCUGGAUUUCAAUUGGAAUAAAUCAAUACCUGAGAGAAUGUACGAUGUAAUAAUUUAUAGUGGAAGACCAAAUCCGAGUUUUCGCGGAUGAUGGUUUGGUUGAGUGUAUAUGAUUACGGUUGUUUGUAGAUGAGACUGUGUAUUUUCUUAUAUUGUGUGUAUAUACAUACCAGUUUAUUUAAGGCUGUGUCUGGACCCCGGAUUUCAAUUAUGAUAGAACAACACCAGCAAGAAUGUAUGAUAUAAUAAUUUACGGUGUGAAUUUGAAUGAAAUGAAACAGGACAAUUAAGCUAAAAUUCUUAAGAGCAUUUUCAAAAGGCUUUCUAUUUAUAAAGAGCAUCUUUAAAUUUUGAGAGAUUUUUUUUAUACACUCCAAUAAGCUCUCUAUUUUGAUUUUUUAUUUGUUUUUUUCCAAUGAACAUUUAAUAAUUUCUCCACAUUUUUUAUUUAAAUAGAAGAUUUUUAUAUAUUAAUGACCAAUUCAUUCAAAUGUAAUUUGAAAAUUUUAAAUUGUAGAGUAUUGAAAUUUGUAAUGUAUUAAAUGUAAUCAUUGUACAUUAAGAAUAGAGAGUGAGUUUGGCUCUCUAAAUUUGGAGAACCAAAUACACUCUCUACUUUAAAAAGUUAAAAUAGAGAGUCUCUUGGAAUUCAUUUUUAAAUAUUGACUCUCUAAAAUAGAGAGUAUUUUGUAUUUAAAGAAUAUCUUGGAGAUACUCUAAGAAGCUUUUUACAUUGUUCUCUUUUAAUUUUUUAUGGUUUGAGACAUACUUCUAACUUUAGUUCUUUACUGGGUAGAAGAGAGAAAUUCGUUAUCGAAGUUCUUUUCCCAUUUUUCUUUCUUUUUAUUGUUUUUAUGUAGGAAUUUUUGUGGACUGGCUGAAAGCAUAGACGUCAUUCAUAUAUUUGUAGACCUACUUCAAAUUUAUUUGGCAUUAGGGAAUCCAUUUUUUUUCUUUUUUCAUUUUUACCUGGAUUGAGAAUAUUUCAGGGCACACCCGGAAGGUUAACAUGAUAAGGCGUUUCAUUACAUAAAGCAAAGACUUCAUCUAGAAGAACUCAGAUUUAUAUUAGAAAUUGCUUUUGCUUCUAUCGUUGAAUUACAAGUUCUUGAUAUCUGAUAUUAGUUGUGUUUGUAUACUGCUCUGUGGAAGACUAAAAUAAGUGUUCCUUCAUGGUCGCCCCUUUUUUCUCUCUACCUACCUGGGGUACAGACCAAAACCCUCAACUAAGCGCAGGUCGUGUUAUGUUAACUAGGUAAAAAAAACAAGGGAAAUUGAAAAUAUACUCAACAUGGUUAGCCAGUUGUUUAUUGUUUAUGCGCAUAAUUUGUUCAGAUACUUGAAGAUGUUUUGGGUAGUAGAUUUUCACGAAUUCAUUGAUAUAGAAUGUUAUACAAUGAUUAAUAAUGCAGGAUGUCUGAAGCCCCCUUUAGGCCAAGAGAAGUCCUCUUCGAUAGGCAAAAGUUAUUUCAGAGCAUUCACAAACAUACAUAUCUGAAAGGUCCAUACGAUAAGAUCACCUCGGUUGCAAUUCCUCUGGCUUUGGCUGGUAGUUCAUUAUUUCUAAUUGUGAGCUCCUUUUUACUCUUUUAAUCGUUUUUGCCUUUUUCAUCCACGAUUGAGUUUGACACUGAUUGUACCUGAUGAAUGUUCUCCAGGGGAGAGGGAUCUAUAACAUGUCUCAUGGGAUUGGAAAGAAGGAAUGAGAAGAUGGAUUCCAUUGAACGAGUGUACAAGUGGGAACUCAACUAUUCAGCACGUUUUUUAAGGAUUUGUUUUUGUUCUUUACAUAUCCUCCUUUUCUUUGCUAAUAAUGAUGAAUUGCAAACUAUAUGUCUGUUCUGUCAUCGAUGACACGAGUCGAUACUUUUUUGUUUCCUGGAAGUACAGCUGAAAUAUGAUUUUUCCUUCUUCUUAGAGGUGGAGAACAAUGAAUUUGUGGAUGGAUUAGAUUUCGUCAAGCAAAAAGAUUUCCUCUUGUACCAGAUUAUGAUUAAGCUUCAAUUAGAGUUGUAUGAAAUCAUCUCACAUGUGAGCACCUAAUAAACAAGAUUAUUGCACGUUUGAUACAAUAAUAUACAAAAUUUUAGUUUCAUUUUGUUAGGUCUACUUCGCCAAACAAAUCAUUAGUGCAUUUGCGGAGUAGAUUCGAAUAAAAUGAAGAAAAACUAAAUAAUAUAAAUUUCAAUGUUUGUAUAUUCCCAAGCUAAGAAUUUGAGAGUACUUUUCGAGUGUCCUCAUAAAAACUAGUUACACUAAG